rnacentral:rRNA from 1 species
AAAUGAAUUGACGGGGACCCGCACAAGCGGUGGAUGAUGUGGUUUAAUUCGAUGCAACGCGAAAAACCUUACCCACCUUUGACAUGGUCGGAAUCCUGCAGAGACGCAGGAGUGCUCGCAAGAGAGCCGACACACAGGUGCUGCAUGGCUGUCGUCAGCUCGUGUCGUGAGAUGUUGGGUUAAGUCCCGCAACGAGCGCAACCCUUGCCAUCAGUUGCUACGAAAGGGCACUCUGAUGGGACUGCCGGUGACAAACCGGAGGAAGGUGGGGAUGACGUCAAGUCCUCAUGGCCCUUAUAGGUGGGGCUACACACGUCAUACAAUGGCUGGUACAAAGGGUUGCCAACCCGCGAGGGGGAGCCAAUCCCACAAAGCCAGUCGUAGUCCGGAUUGCAGGCUGCAACUCGCCUGCAUGAAGUCGGAAUCGCUAGUAAUCGUGGAUCAGCAUGUCACGGUGAAUACGUUCCCGGGUCUUGUACACACCGCCCGU